rnacentral:rRNA from 1 species
AAUAUUGGACAAUGGGCGAAAGCCUGAUCCAGCCAUGCCGCGUGUGUGAAGAAGGUCUUCGGAUUGUAAAGCACUUCAAGCUGGGAGGAAGGGCAGUAAGUUAAUACCUUGCUGCUUUGACGUUACCGACAGAAUAAGCACCGGCUACCUUCUUCCCAGCAGCCGCGGUAAUACGAAGGGUGCAAGCGUUAAUCGGAAUUACCGGGCGUAAAGCGGGCGUAGGUUGUUCGUUAAGUUGGAAGUGAAAGCCCCGGGCUUAACCUGGGAAUUGCUUUCAAAACUGACGAGCUAGAGUACGGUAGAGGGUAGUGGAAUUUCCUGUGUAGCGGUGAAAUGCGUAGAUAUAGGAAGGAACAUCAGUGGCGAAGGCGACUACCUGGACUGAUACUGACGCUGAGGUGCGAAAGCGUGGGGAGCAAACAGG